rnacentral:rRNA from 1 species
UACGUAGGGUGCGAGCGUUAAUCGGAAUUACUGGGCGUAAAGCGUGCGCAGGCGGUUCGUUGUGUCGGUGGUGAAAUCUCCGGGCUCAACCCGGAAACUGCCAUGGAUACUAUUGGUCUUGAAUGUUGUUGAGGUGGGCGGAACGGGUCAUGUAGCGGUGAAAUGCAUAGAUAUGACCCGGAACACCGAUUGCGAAGGCAGCCCACUAAGCAAUGAUUGACGCUGAGGCACGAAAGCGUGGGGAGCAAACAGG